rnacentral:rRNA from 1 species
CCUACGGGAGGCAGCAGUGAGGAAUAUUGGUCAAUGGACGAGAGUCUGAACCAGCCAAGUAGCGUGAAGGAUGACUGCCCUAUGGGUUGUAAACCUCUUUUAUAUGGGAGUAAAAUGUUCCACGUGUGGGAUUUUGUAUGUACCAUAUGAAUAAGGAUCGUCUAACUCCAUGCCAGCAGCCGCGGUAAUACGGAGGAUCCGAGCGUUAUCCGGAUUUCUUGGGUUUAAAGGGAGCGUAGGUGGGUUGUUAAGUCAGUUGUGAAAGUUGGCGGAUCAACCGUAAAAUUGCAGUUGAAACUGGCAGUCUUGAGUACAGUAGAGGUGGGCGGAAUUCGUGGUGUAGCGGUGAAAUGCUUAGAUAUCACGAAGAACUCCGAUUGCGAAGGCAGCUCACUGGACUGCAACUGACACUGAGGCUCGAAAGUGUGGGUAUCAAACAGGAUUAGAUACCCCUGUAGUC